GUUGUGGGGGGAGCCCCCUCAGCCUGGAUUGCGAGAGAGCGUAGGCCAGGCCGAGGGACCCCACCGGUGCACG
rnacentral:pre_miRNA from 1 species